rnacentral:sRNA from 1 species
UUUUUUUGCUUUCAGAAAAUAACGAGUUUCACAUACGAAUCAUGAGCCUCUACAUCAUCUAAUACUAGGUAUCAAAAGAAUCACUGCACUGAUACGGGAUCAGACCUAAAUAUAUUGUCUAAUCUAUAAAAGA